ensembl:lncRNA
GACCACUCCGGGGUCCCCGAAUUUUAGGCAGACUUGGCAGGUACCCGUUACCCCUCCACUGGUCACCACUCCCCGGGGGUGGAGGUGCCAGCCUGCUGCCACUAAGGGAAGAACCUCUGGCUUCUUCUGGUAGCAGAUGGAUCUUGGUCUCCUUGGUGGUCUGGCCGUCGGCCAGGACAGGUGGAUGCCGAUGGUCUGAGGGUUGCAGGGGGCUGUGGCGGGUUUGCCUGGCUCCACGUUAAGUGCUUCCCGCAUUCUCCCAUUCACCCCCUUGACAGUCCACUGCGUGAUGUCAGCCUCCGUUUUAUGCCUUUUAAUGACUCUCCAAGGUCUCUGGGACCAGCCGAGUCCUCCAUCUUCAUUCUUGUCCUGGAGACCACUUCCCCACGCUGUCCCCUAGGAGGACGAGUGGCUCAGAGACACAGUUCCUGCCUUUGGGAAUCUACAUCCAGCUGAGGAGACACAGGUUAAAAGUCCAGGAGGCAAGAAGACACUUAAAGGGGUACCGUGGCCACCCCGGCCCCCGCAGGCUGGACAGGAGUGUGGAGCCAAGGAGGCAACCCCAGUGGCCAGAGGAGGCUCCCCAUUGCCUUCCCUGUGGGUGGGGACCGCGGGCAGAGGCUGGGAGAGCCAUGCUCCAGAGGUCCAGGCCCUUGGCCACUUUCCCAGGGCUGUCCGAGCCUCAUGCCUCGGAACCUUCCCGCCUGUGUCUCUGUCAGGCACUCCUUGCGUGCAUGGCACUGUGCAGGCAGCUCUCACCUGCAGGGGCAUCUGGAGCAGCUUUGAGAGAAGAGGGCAGGCCACCCACUGGCCGACCAGCUGAAUCCACUCGGGUUUGUUUAGAGCUUCCAGGUGAUUCUGAGAUGUAGCCACGUUUGAGAAGCGCUGGGCCAGAUACCAGGCAGUUUUUCAGGCUAGGAGUGGGGAAUGUGCCCUUCGAAUGAAGGGUUCCGCUGCCCCCAGAGACCCCCAAGGCUGGGGUCUCUGCCUUGUUCGUAAUCCAGACCAGGGGACUCCAUGGCCACAGGACAGCUAUGAUUUUUCCAAUAGUCAUGUACAGAUGUGAGAGCUGGACUUUACAGAAGACUGAACGCAGAAGAACUGAUGCUUUCGAACUGUGAUGCUGGAGAAGAUUCUUGAAAGUCCCUUGGACUGCAAGGAGAGCAAACUGGUCAAUCCUAAAGGAAAUCAACCCUGAAUUUUCAUUGAAAGGACUGAUGCUGAAGCUGAAGCUCCAAUACUUGGGUCACCUGGUGUGAAGAGCCAACUCUUUGGAAAAGACCCUGAUGCUGGGAAAGAUUGAAGGCAGGAGGAGAAGGGGGCGACAGAGGAUGAGAUGGCGGAUGGUGUCACCGACUCAAUGGACAUGAGCUUGAGCAAACUCAGGGAGAUAGUGAAGGACAGGGGAGUCUGGUGUGCUGCAGUCCAUGGGAUUGCAAAGAGUCACACAAGACUUAGCGACCAAAACAGCAACAGCAAUUUAUUUCAACCGGGGUGGGUCUUCGUUGCUGCGAGGGCUUUUCUCUAGCUGUGAGCCUGUCACAAUCGUGUGAAAACUAACUGCUUCAUUAAAAAUGUAUCUCAAAGAAGAGGGAACCCUCCUCCUCUGCUGCUGGCCCAGUAAGUUGGUGCAGCCGCUGUGAAAGACAGGAUGUAGGUUCUUCAGAAAACUAAAACCAGAGCUACCACGCGAACCAGCAAUCCCACUCCUGGACAUAUAUCAAGACAGAACGGUAGUUCAAAGAUGCACGCACCCCUAUGCUCAUAGCAGCACUAUGUACCAUAGCCAAGACGCAGGAACAACCUACAUGUCCACCGGCAGACGAAGGGAUGAAGAUGUGGUGCGUAUACGCAACGGAAUACUACGUAGAAUGAAUCAGUGCCAUGAGCAGCGACGUGGCUGCAACCAGAGUUUAUCAUACGAAGUGAAGUGCGUCAGAAUGAGAAAGACAAGUACCAUAUUAUCCUAACACUUAUACCUGGAGUCUAAAAUAUGACACAAAGGAACCAUCUCCGAAACAGAAGCAGUUACGGACACAGAGAAGAGACGUGAUUCUCCAGGGGGCGGGGGUUGGGGGAGGGAUAGAGUGAGAGGCUGGGGUUAGCAGAUGUAGGAUGGAUAAACCACAAGGGCCUACUGUAGAGCACAGGGAGCUAUGAUCCAUAUCCCAUGAUAAACCAUGACGGAAAAGAAUGUAAAGAUGAAUGUAUAUAUGUGUAUAACCAGAUUACUUGGCUGUACAGCAGUAAUUAACACAACACUGUCAAUCAAGUCUACUUCAAUAAGGAAACGCACAUAUACACAUCCAUGUGCUGUAUCUCACAAGGAAACGAAAGUCUAGUUUUACUGUAUGAGGGAGGUGGGCAGAUACUGUAAGUGAACUUUGCUUUCAUCUAUCAGAGCAAGGAGUUCUGUCUGAACAAGACAAGACGAGGAUGGCAGCGCCUUCCGACUCACUGUUUUGUGAGCGUCUGUAUUUAUGUAGCACAUUUAAUGCAGCUGAAUUUUUAAAAUCCACUUUUUGAUAGAAAUCAAAACAAUGAAAAGACCUUCCCCCUUAUAGCCUUCCAUGUUUUCUUCUGACCCUUCGAUGAUUUGUUUCACGCACAUGAUUUCAUGUAAUUCCAUAAUAACCUUUUUUUCCCUUUUUCCGUUCUCUCCAAGUCUCUCCCCACCGGUAACC